UGAGGAAUAUUGGUCAAUGGGCGAGAGCCUGAACCAGCCAAGUAGCGUGCAGGACGACGGCCCUAUGGGUUGUAAACUGCUUUUAUAAGGGAAUAAAGUGGGUCACGUGUGACUUUUUGCAUGUACCUUAUGAAUAAGGACCGGCUAAUUCCGUGCCAGCAGCCGCGGUAAUACGGAAGGUCCGGGCGUUAUCCGGAUUUAUUGGGUUUAAAGGGAGCGUAGGCCGGAGAUUAAGCGUGUUGUGAAAUGUAGACGGCUCAACGUCUGCACUGCAGCGCGAACU
rnacentral:rRNA from 1 species